rnacentral:rRNA from 1 species
CCUACGGGUGGCAGCAGUGAGGAAUAUUGGUCAAUGGGCGCGAGCCUGAACCAGCCAAGUAGCGUGAAUGAUGACUGCCCUAGGGGUUGUAAACUUCUUUUAACAAGGAAUAAAAUGAGGCAAGUGUGCCUUUUUGUCUGUACUUUAUGAAUAAGGAUCGGCUAACUACGUGCCAUCAGCCGCGGUAAUACGGAGGAUCCGAGCGUUAUCCGGAUUUGUUGGGUGUAACUGGAGCGUAGACGGGUUGUUGAGUCAGUUGUGAAAGUUUGCGGCUAAACCGUAAAAUUGCAAUUGAUACUGGCAGGCUUGAGUACAGUUGAGGUAGGUGGAAUUCGUGGUGUAGCGGUGAAAUGCUUAGAUAUCACGAAGAACUCCGAUUGCGAAGGCAGCUCACUAAACUGUAACUGACAUUGAUGCUCGAAAGUGUGGGUAUCAAACAGGAGUAGAUACCCGAGUAGUC